rnacentral:rRNA from 1 species
GAUUAACGCUGGCGUCGUGCCCAACACAUGCAAGUCGAGCGGCAGCGAGUUUUACACUGAAUUCUGGAAGCUUCUGGUUUGAAGAGAAGAUUUAUUCAAGAAUUUUGUGUAAAAUGUCGGCGAGCGGCGGACGGCUGAGUAACGCGUGGGAACGUACCCCAAAGUGAGGGAUAACGCAUCGAAAGGUGUGCUAAUACCGCAUAUGGUCUUCGGAUUAAAGCCUUCGGGCGCUUUGGGAACGGCCUGCGUAAGAUUAGAUAGUUGGUGGGGUAAUGGCCUACCAAGUCGACGAUCUUUAACUGGUUUGAGAGGAUGAUCAGUCAGACUGGAACUGAGACACGGUCCAGACUCCUACGGGAGGCAGCAGUGAGGAAUCUUCCACAAUGGGCGAAAGCCUGAUGGAGCAACGCCGCGUGCAGGAUGAAGGCCUUCGGGUUGUAAACUGCUUUUAUAAGUGAGGAUUAUGACAGUAACUUAUGAAUAAGGAUCGGCUAACUACGUGCCAGCAGCCGCGGUCAUACGUAGGAUCCGAGCGUUAUCCGGAGUGACUGGGCGUAAAGAGUUGCGUAGGUGGUUCGAUAAGCGAAUAGUGAAAUCUGGUGGCUCAACCAUUCAGACUAUUAUUCGAACUGUUGAACUCGAGAGCAGAAGAGGUAGCUGGAAUUUCUAGUGUAGGAGUGAAAUCCGUAGAUAUUAGAAGGAACACCGAUGGCGUAGGCAGGCUACUGGGCUGUUUCUGACACUGAGGCACGAAAGCGUGGGGAGCGAACCGGAUUAGAUACCCGGGUAGUCCACGCCGUAAACGAUGGAUACUAGCUGUUUGGGGUAUCGACCCCCUGAGUAGCGAAGCUAACGCGUUAAGUAUCCCGCCUGUGGAGUACGAUCGCAAGAUUAAAACAUAAAGGAAUUGACGGGGACCCGCACAAGCGGUGGAUCAUGUUCUUUAAUUCGAUGAUAACCGAUAAACCUUACCAGGUCUUGACAUCCUUGGAAUCUUUCAGAAAUGAGAGAGUGCUUUUUAAGAGCCAAGUGACAGGUGAUGCAUGGCCGUCGUCAGCUCGUGUCGUGAGAUGUUUGGUUAAGUCCAUCAACGGGCGCAACCCUUGUCAGUAGUUGUAUUUUUCUACUGAGACUGCCCCGGCAUCGGGGAGGAAGGAGGGGAUGACGUCAGGUCAGUAUUUCCCUUACGUCCUGGGCUAGAAACGUGAUACAAUGGCUAGUACAAUGCGCAGCGAAGCCGCGAGGUGAAGCAAAUCGCAUCAAAGCUAGUCCCAGUUCGGAUUGUAGGCUGAAACUCGCCUGCAUGAAGUCGGAAUCGCUAGUAAUCGCAGAUCAGCAUGCUGCGGUGAAUACGUUCCCGGGUCU